UGUUCAGCCAGUAGCCUGACAGAGACUUCCUUAAAUAGCAGGGAACACUUGUGAAACACUGCCAGGCCUCUUUCACACUGGCUUCACCCUUACCUCCUGUUUGCACAGAGCUCAGGUAUCAGCCAGAGAUCAAGCCUAGGUUCCUCUCAGCUCUUUUCUGAGCCCACAUCCAGCUUUGAGUUUGAAUUCUGUAAUCUGUGCUAUACCAGGUGGCUCCUUUAGACCUUAUUUCCCUAGUUUUUUCCUCCUUAGCCUUCUUCCCAGGAUUUUUAAUCCAUUUCUUGCUCUACUCCUGCCGUACUCCUGCCUGCCAUCUGCAAUCCUUUGCCCCAUGUUACAGAUAUGACAUGAAUUAUCUGAAUUUAUGAAGUUACAAAGUUGCAAGUAACUCCUCAAAACACUUUAUUUCUAUCUCACAAGGAAAAGAAGAAGAAGAAAGAAAACCUCCAGCUUGAACAGACUAUUUCCCAGUUGGCAUAUUAGAAAUGGCUUCAUUUCUGAGAGAUGACAAAGUUAAUCCUGUUUUGAGUUAUAUUGGAUGAAAAUGGCAUUUUGAGCUUGCUUUGCAUUUACUGAAUAAGCCAUUGAGUCCAACAUUUACUGAGUGCCAUUAAGUGGAAGACACAGUGUUAGACAUUAAGGUUAUAAAGCAUCUCAUCUAACUUCUUCUUUCAUCUUAAAGAAUUCUGUUCAACUCCAAAGAAAAAGAGACAGAGAAAGGGAGAGCUCCCAUCUGCUGGUUAACACCUCAGAUAUCCACAAUGACCUGGACUAAAACCCGGAGCCAGGAAUGAAAUCCAGGUCUACCAUGUGAGUGGCAAGAUCCUCAUUACUUGAACCAUCACCACUACCUUCCAGGGUCUUCAUUAUCAGGAAGUCAGGAAUUGGAGUCAGGAGUUGGAGCUGAGAACUGAACCCAGGUGGAAGUUCACGACAACUGGAAGCCAAGCACAGAGAAGGGGGAGAGGUUGAUGGAGAACUGCAUGGAGACCAGAAUGCAUAACACUUCUAAUGCCAUGUUGUGGAGUUGGUGAGUAGUAAGUGACUGUUUCCACGCAGUCACCUCUGCGGACUUAGUGUGUGAGGUCCUAACAUGGGACAUCUGGACUUGACACUGAUGUGUCUACAGGACAGAGGAGAGCACCUGACCCCUUGUCUCAGUAAGGAGGCCAGCCGAGGGAGGGGGUUUUGAAGUCAGGAAGAACAUAAGAUGAGCAGAGAAAGGAUGGGAAAUAGAAAAUACUGGAUAAAUGCUACCUGUUAUUAAAAGGCCAACCUGCUAAUGUGUUUUAAAACACUCAGGUGUCACAUCUCUGUUCCGUAUAUGUAUAAUGGGGAUACUAAUGCUUCCUACUAAUAGCGUAGUUGGAUUGCACAUGUUACAUAGCUUCCCCACAUUUAUACAUUUAGUGAAUAUCUGAGGCUGGCUGUGGGACCAAGGGGUUUGACGACAAAGCCCAGGCUCAUAUGCGAUUACACUGUACAACCAUCCUUACCAAGGAAUGGAGU